UGAAGCUCUGGUUUCUUCCGUAAACCGGUUUUAAACCGUGACCGGUCGUAAGAGAACUCGCCACUGACUCACUGAGUCGCGCCUCCGAUUCUCCUAGUAAGUGUCGCCUUAUCGACUCAAGAAAAGCGUAAUCAGAUUCCGCCGCCAUAGUUGAGAGAAAAAAAAAACUAAUUUUUAAGAAUCUUGAAAAUGUUUUUUUUUUUGGUUUGUUAAUGGUUUUUUUUUUGGUUCUGUUGGAAUAUUGAAAUUUGCAGUGGAAUUGAAGGUUAAGGAGGUUUGAUAUUUUUAUAUAGAGAAUAGAUUGAGACAAAAGGUUCAUGAACCUGUGGAUAAUACUAUUCUCGUAAAAUGUUAUUUUAGUGUAUAGUGGGGUGAUUAAAAAGGUUGAAAAUAUGAAAGUAAUGGAUUUUUCUCAUUGCUGUGAAGGUUCGUGAAUUAAAACACGUGCGGAUUAUCCACAUGAAGACACAAAAAAAUGAAGUAGCCGUCAAGGAUGAUGUCACGCAAUCUACGGAAGCACGCAAUGUUGUGUGAUUGGUCUCGUCUCUCAACUUGUCUUUGCCUUUUGUCGUUCAGUGUUUUUUUUUCUUUUUUUCUUUCUUUCCAACUUGAACCGCGGUUUACCGCCAGCAAAUUCAAAUAUAUGCCAAAAUCACUUUCUGUUAACAAAACCG
rnacentral:lncRNA from 1 species